GGAGCCCGAGAGGAGAGGGAGCACGGCGCGGCCCGCGGCCACGUGCGCGGAAACCCGCGGCGGGGGCGCCUCGGGGAGGCCCGCACGAGGGGGCUCCCAGCCCCGGGCUGCGUCUGCGUCCUCCCGCGAGACGCCGGACUCCCCUCGGUCCGCGAUCAAGCUCCCUCGACGGGGAGGCUCCCGCCAGCGCGGGGCAGCUCGCGUCUCUUCCCCGCCACGCUGAGUCUUCCUGCCUCCACCUGGAGCCUGAGGCCAGAGGGCCGUUACCAGAACUAGAGAUACGGGACCAACAAAUCGAGUAAAGGGGAUCAUUACUCCCACCGACAGCGCCAGAGUAGCUGGUUUGCCCUGGCAUAAGCAGAAGAAAAGCUACUUACUCUGAGUGGCUAGGUGUUAAGUUGGAGAUUGUUCUGGGUGUGAAACUCCAGGAAACCUUUGGACUGCUAAGAACUACAGGUUGCACUUCCUGUGCACUUUAUUGCAGGCUGGGAGCUGAGGCGAGGUCUGGGACAAAGAGAGGCCGAAUGCUGCUGAUAGGUUCAUUGAGACGGAAAAAAAGGAAGCUUAAGGAAACAGGAUGUUUUCAGGCCUCUCAAUUUAUACUGUCUACAAUUAAGACCGAUCACCAUGCAGGAUUUAUAUUACCUAUGUAUGGCACAUUAAGAGAACGCCCUAGUGGCUGAGAAAUGGAAGGCCACGCUGCAGUUUCUUGGACAUGUGGCAGAUGGUUGUGUUGCCCCUUGGAGAUGACCUUCUAUAAGACAGGUAUAGUUCUGUGAGCAUCACCGGGACCUGAACUACAAGCCUACUCAGCAGGAGUUAUACGUAGCAUCUGCAGAGGACAACUGCUGAUCUCCAGUCAGUGGACCCGUUUACACUUUAU